rnacentral:miRNA from 1 species
UGUGUGUGUGUGUGUGUGUGUGUGUGUGUGUGUGUGUGUGUGUGCGCGCGCGUGCAUGCGUGCAUGCGCGCAGACACACACACCAUCAAUUAGG